rnacentral:tRNA from 2 species
AAGAAGGGAUAAGAAUCAAUAAGUACUGCUAAUCCUUAUGAACCGUGGCUAAAAUCCGCGGCCUUCUUG